AUUGAACGCUGGCGGCAGGCCUAACACAUGCAAGUCGAGCGGAGUGGCGAACGGGUGAGUAACAUGUGGGUGACCUGCCCUGCACUUCGGGAUAAGCCUGGGGAACUGGGUCUAAUACCGGAUAGUGUGGGAUGGGCCCGCGGCCUAUCAGCUUGUUGGUGGGGUAAUGGCCUACCAGGGCGGCGACGGGUAGCCGGCCUGAGAGGGUGGACGGCCACAUUGGUACUGAGGCACGGCCCAGACGCCUACGGGAGGCAGCAGGGGGGAAUAUUGCACAAUGGGCGGAAGCGUGAUGCAGCGACGCCGCGUGGGGGAUGACGGCCUUGGGGUUGUAAACUCCUUUCACCAUCGACGCGGUAGAUGGAGAAGAAGCACCGGCUAACUACGUGCCAGCAGCCGCGGUAAUAC
rnacentral:rRNA from 1 species